UACAGAGGGGGCGAGCGUUGUUCGGAAUUACUGGGCGUAAAGGGCGCGUAGGCGGCCAACUAAGUCAGACGUGAAAUCCCUCGGCUCAACCGGGGAACUGCGUCUGAUACUGGAUGGCUUGAAUUCGGGAGAGGGAUGCGGAAUUCCAGGUGUAGCGGUGAAAUGCGUAGAUAUCUGGAGGAAUACCGGUGGCGAAGGCGGCAUCCUGGACCGACAUUGACGCUGAACGGCGAAAGCUAGGGGAGCAAACGGG
rnacentral:rRNA from 1 species